GUGCCUGUUACCUGGUAUUGAAUUGGUCAGUUUGCUAUGUCCCCCACAUUGCAAUAGAACUACUGUGACAUCACAUCUUGUUUUUCUUCCAAUGGUAGCAGGAACAAGCAGCAGCACUGCAAACUUCCCCAUAAUACCACAGGAACGGGGCUCAAUAUUGAUUAGAGGAACCAUCUCUAGAGGUAUGUUUUCACUAUAUGGUGAACCCAGAUAAUUGGCACCUGGUCUGAGUACUCAGGUUAGCCUAACCUGGGUGCAGGCAUUCCCACAGCAAAGCCCUAACAGAGUACUCUGUCCUCACUGUUUCUACAC